rnacentral:tRNA from 1 species
AGACUUGUAGUUUAGUGGUAGAACGCUCGCUUUGUAGAACAUGCGAGAGAUGUAGGGUUCGAUUCCCUGCAAGUCUU